UACAGAGGGUGCGAGCGUCAAUCGGAAUUACUGGGCGUAAAGCGCGCGUAGGUGGUUGAUUAAGUCGAUUGUGAAAUACCUGGGCUUAACCUGGGAACUGCAGUUGAUACUGGUUGACUAGAGUAUGGUAGAGGGAAGUGGAAUUUCCGGUGUAGCGGUGAAAUGCGUAGAUAUCGGAAGGAACACCAGUGGCGAAGGCGACUUCCUGGACUAAUACUGACACUGAGGUGCGAAAGCGUGGGUAGCGAACAGG
rnacentral:rRNA from 1 species